GGGGAAUUGUUCGCAAUGGGCGCAAGCCUGACGACGCAACGCCGCGUGGUGGACGAAGAUCUUCGGGUCGUAAACUCCUUUCGAUCGAGAAGAAUGCCUUUGGGUUUAAUACGCCCGAAGGGUGACGGUAUCGAGAGAAGAAGCCCCGGCUAACCCCGUGCCAGCAGCCGCGGUAACACGGGGGGAGCAAGCGUUGUUCGGAAUCACUGGGCGUAAAGGGCGUGUAGGCGGUCAAGUAAGUGGAAUGUGAAAUGCCCCGGCUUACCCGGGGACCUGCAUCCCAAACUGCUUGGCUUGAGUAUGAGAGAGGAUGAGGGAAUUCCUGGUGUAGCGGUGAAAUGCGUAGAUAUCAGGAGGAACACCGGUGGCGAAAGCGCUCAUCUGGCCCAAUACUGACGCUGAGGCGCGAAAGCUAGGGGAGCAAAC
rnacentral:rRNA from 1 species